rnacentral:tRNA from 5 species
GGCGGAUGUAGCCAAGUGGAUCAAGGCAGUGGAUUGUGAAUCCCCCAUGCGCGGGUUCAAUUCCCGUCGUUCGCC